GGGCCCAUAGCUCAGGGGUAGAGCAGGUGACUCAUAAUCACUUGGUCGGAGGUUCAAAUCCUUCUGGGCCCA
rnacentral:tRNA from 1 species